rnacentral:misc_RNA from 3 species
AACGCAUCUUGCGCCCCUUGGUAUUCCGAGGAGCAUGCCUGUUUGAGUGUCAUUUGACCUUCUCUCAACCAUAUCAGUCAAUGAUGUGGCUUGGAUGUGGGAUUGCAGGCUUCGAGUAUGAAGUCCAGCUCUCCUGAAAUGCAUUAGUGGUAUCUGUCUGAGCUGCUAUUUGGUGUGAUAACUUAUCUAUGCCUUUUGGUGAUCAGCACCGCUUAUAACCUACCAAAAUUGACAAAAUUGACCUCAAAUCAGGUAGGACUACCCGCUGAACUUAA